rnacentral:lncRNA from 1 species
GACCUCCUACCCUCGAGAUGAAAAGGAGUGGAAAGGCCACACUGCCCGUCUUGGAGCUGAGGUGACCGAGGCUAGAAGUACCCAUGGUUCAUCAACAAAAGCUCUGAAGAAGGUGGUCUUUGGAACUCCAGGUCAUUUUUCCCGGAACAAUUUCAGCUGCUCACAAAAAUCUGAACCGAUGGGGGUCGCAGCUCUUGUCUGAGAAGCGGGGCUGCGUGGUCCUGCGGAAGCUGGAGUGAGCCCCGGGGGAGCCGGAGCAGGUGGGGGGGGGGGCUUGCGAGCGAAGCCCCGCCCACGUCCUCCCAGACCUCAGCAGCCCCGCAGCCCCGCAGCCUCUCUGCUCCCAGAUCCGCAGCUCCUCGUCUGCGCUCCUGUGGUUCACAGGCCCCUCGGGAUACCCCGAUGGGUGGUGCUGAGGGAAGAGGCCGUCCGCCGGAACUCAUGGCAAGCAAGGCAGAGACUAGAGACCGCCUUAGAUGUCUAAGCUCUGCCGCACUCCCGUCCACGGCCGCGGCCCCGUCCCGUUUUGCCCUGCUCUCCAUCAGCGUCCAUGCCUUUGCUCUCCACGCAGCCGCUCCGCCUCUUAAACCCCAGCCCGGGCGUCCCGGCCUCCCUUUCCUUGCUCUGCACGCCAAGAAGUCCCCUCUGUCCUUCCCCCGCCUCGUCCUUGCCUUGGGCCUUGCACAUGAAGACGAGCACGCAGCGUGGGCACGAAGUCACUGCGCAGCGCAGCUACUGAGGUGCGAUUUCCACGCGAAUCUUGGCCGCUGACAAAAAAGGAGCAUCCGCCGCUGUUCCUUCUCCUCUCUCCUCCGUAUGUGACUGUCAAACCACCCACCGCCUCCCUUCACAGGAAGAGACAACUCUGGGACUGAGCACCAACUGUCUGAGGACUUCUCUGGGUGACUGCGACUCAAUGGCUGCUAACAAGUCACGCGUAAAGAGCAAGACAAAAAUGUGCCAGAGCAGACGCCCGUACACUGUCAUGUACCGGAAAAUGAAAACUUCUCAUAGAAGUUACGCCAAUUCAGACGGCUAAUGACCCGACAAAAGGCAAAAUAUGUGCAUUUUUAGUGACAGUGGGCAUGGUUUUAGGUGCGUCAAUUAUUUCACCAGGAUUUAGAAACCCGACCUACCCGCCAACUCCUAGAAAAGUAAUGACAAACUUAAAAUCCUGAAAUGUUUUAUGAUCGGCCAAAAAGACAGCUGAAGAAAACAGAAUGGAAUGGAGACCUUUCACAAGAUGCCCCACAAGAGCAGAGGUGAGGCAGCUGUACGUCUUGCCGGUGCUCUGUGCACGCCCACCUGCCCCUGGAAGCACCUCCACAAGUGUGUAAGAGCAUCCCAGAAGCCGCCAGUGGGCAGCAGGCAAGGAGCUCGCUGCGCCGCGGUCAAGGAAGGUGUGGGUGCUGGGGUCCACGUGACCGACACACAGUGCUUCUCCUUAAGGACCAGACAUCCCCACUUCUGAAAGACCCUAACUUGAGGAUUCUUCAGAAUUCUCUAGAAGCCGCUGACUACAGAAGCAGACACCUCCUACCCAAGACAGUGAAACGAGACUUUCUUCAUUAGUGAGUCUAGCUGAUUUACAACGCUGUGGCAGAACAAGGCUGUUUCUGAUUCAUGCGCCACUUUUCUGUCCUUUGCUUGGCCGAUCUUACCUAUCAGCACAGCCGGGCCACUGUCAGGACAGUAACAGGAGUUUCCUUAUCUUCAUCCUGUUACUCGUAUCCCCUAAGGUCUCCGGUUUCUACCUCGGGACUCAGAGAACUCUCCGGAACAUGUUCCCGACCCUCGACCCUCGACCCUCAACCCUGGGGGAUUGCUCCAGACGACCCUCUGCUGGACCUGACGCCCGCCGCCCGCCGGCUGUCCUUACAAGCACGGUCAAGAAUACGCCGUCCUUUCACGUGGCCUUUAGCAAAGGGCCUCAGUCACGCAGGCGCACGCGUUCCGCAACACUCUCUUCCACCGCCGUCUAUCCCAGGCGACUGGACAGAGCUGCCUGUGCCGCGCAGUCGGACUUCGUUGCCUACCCACUCUCCACGUGAUCGUUUGCAUCCACGGUGUAUCUGUUGUGAGGUUCUCCACGGACACCCUCGCCAUCCUUAAGGGUGUACACGGUUUCCUUGUCUCCAACUGGCUCGUCUGCCUCCUGCUUUUACCGCACUGAUGGGGGCCUCCGACCCAGCGCGGUCCAGGGAGAGCAGACAGGCGCCUUCCCACCACAGGGGCCCAGCGGUGCGGAGGCACGGGACGGACGACGCUGUUAACGAUGCUUUUUUGUACACGGAUUUUUCUUAGAAUGAGGACAUCUCACUUUGUUCUAGUACAUUUUUUUUUUUUUAAAUCAAGUUUGGAUGUUGAAUUUUAUUAAUAUGUUUUCCUGCAUCAAAUGAGAUGAACUUUAUAAAUAUUUACCUCAACUUUUGAGGUGAAUUACAACGACUGAUUUUUAAAUGUUGAAUUCAUGUGUGUACCUGAAAUAAACUGUUGGCAAUAAUGCAUCAUCUUUCAUUGAAUCAGGAAUGUUUCUAUUUUUAAAUAAUGUUUGGCCCAGUGUUUCUGGGAGAUUUUGCCUAUUUUUUCUUUCCUGGUAGUGUUUUUGCCAUAUUUUGGCAUCACAAUUAGGCUUGCUGAAUAAAACCAUUUGAAAGU